rnacentral:lncRNA from 1 species
CGGCUGAGGAGUGCGGCAGCGCGCCAGAGACUGGCGGGCAGCUCCGCCCGCGGCCGGGAUGCACUAGGCAAAGCCAGCUGGGCUCCUGAGUCCGGUGGGUACUUGGAGAACUUACUACGUCUAGCUGGAGGAUUGUAAAUGCACCAAUCAGCAUGCUGUGUCUAGCUCAAGAACUCAAGCUCCAUGAGGAGAUGUUUCAUUGUCGAGAGCAGUCAUGAUGGCCUGCACUCCACACAAUGCAACAGAGUGAAAGAGCAGGUUCUGCUUCUUUGGUGUAGUCCUGAAGCUUCCUAAGAAACUUCACAUCAGGUGAUGGAUAGGAGCAACCCUGUAAAACCAGCCUUAGACUAUUUUUCAAACAGGCUGGUGAAUUACCAGAUCUCCGUCAAGUGCAGUAACCAGUUCAAGUUGGAAGUGUGUCUUUUGAAUGCAGAAAACAAAGUCGUGGACAACCAGGCUGGGACCCAGGGCCAGCUGAAGGUGCUGGGUGCCAACCUCUGGUGGCCGUACCUGAUGCACGAACACCCCGCCUACCUGUACUCGUGGGAGGAUGGUGAUUGCUCACACCAAAGCCUUGGACCCCUCCCAGCCUGUGACCUUUGUGACCAACUCCACCUACGCAGCAGACAAGGGGGCUCUGUAUGUGGAUGUGAUCCGUGUGAACAGCUACUACUCUUGGUAUCGCAACUACGGGCACCUGGAGUUGAUUCAGCUGCAGCUGGCCGCCCAGUUUGAGAAUUGGUGUAAGACAUCACAAUCCCAUUAUUCAGAGCGCGUAUGGAGUGGAAACGCUUGUAGGGCUUCACCAGUCUUUCCCAGGGAACUCCGAUGAAGUGUUCCAACAAAAUGAGCGAGUGAACCAAGAAGAGGAUGACAUUAGAUCCAGGAGAUACAACAGAGGAGAUAAUCUCCAGGAUGCCUGUGAAGAAAGAUCCCUGGAUCCCAGGAUGAUUAUAGGACAAGUUGUUCAUAAUCCAGCAGGCCAGAAGACUUCCAGGGAAACUCAUUCAAGGAGGUGAAAAUGAUGGAUGACUCCUCCAAGAUGAAAAUGGACCAGCCGCAGUGGCUCACGCCUGUAAUACCAGCACUUUGGGAGGCUGAGGCAGGCGGAUCACUUGAGGUCAGGAGUUUGAAACUAGCCUGGCCAACGUGGCAAAACUCCAUCUCUAUUAAAAAUACAAAAAUUAGCCAAGCAUAGUGGUGCAUGCCUGUAGUCCCAGCUACUUGGGAUGCUGAGGCAGGAAGAAUUGCUUGAACCUGGGAGGCAGAGUCUACAGUGAGCCGAGAUCAUGCCACUGCACUCCAGCCUGGGGGACAGAGCCAGACUCCGUCUC